GUUUAAGGCCAUACCAUCCUGAACAUGCCUGAUAUCAUCUGAUCUCAGAAGAUAAGCAGGGUCAGACCUGGUUAGUACUUGGAUGAGAGAAAUACCAUAUGAUUCAGCA
ensembl:rRNA 5S_rRNA 5S ribosomal RNA